AGUGAACGCUGGCGGCAGGCCUAACACAUGCAAGUCGAACGGUAGCACAGAGGAGCUUGCUCCUUGGGUGACGAGUGGCGGACGGGUGAGGAAUAUAUCGGAAUCUACCCAAUCGUGGGGGAUAACGUAGGGAAACUUACGCUAAUACCGCAUACGAUCUGAGGAUGAAAGCGGCGGACCGCAAGGCGUCGCGCGAUUGGAUGAGCCGAUAUCCGAUUAGCUAGUUGGUGGGGUAAUGGCCCACCAAGGCGACGAUCGGUAGCUGGUCUGAGAGGAUGAUCAGCCACACUGGAACUGAGACACGGUCCAGACACCUACGGGUGGCUG
rnacentral:rRNA from 1 species